UGGGGAAUCUUGCGCAAUGGGCGAAAGCCUGACGCAGCCAUGCCGCGUGAAUGAUGAAGGUCUUAGGAUUGUAAAAUUCUUUCACCGGGGACGAUAAUGACGGUACCCGGAGAAGAAGCCCCGGCUAACUUCGUGCCAGCAGCCGCGGUAAUACGAAGGGGGCUAGCGUUGCUCGGAAUUACUGGGCGUAAAGGGAGCGUAGGCGGACUGUUAAGUUAGAGGUGAAAGCCCAGGGCUCAGCCUUGGAAUUGCCUUUGAUACUGGCAGUCUUGAGUACGGAAGAGGUAUGUGGAACUCCGAGUGUAGAGGUGAAAUUCGUAGAUAUUUGGAAGAACACCAGUGGCGAAGGCGACAUACUGGUCCGUUACUGACGCUGAGGCUCGAAAGCGUGGGGAGCAAACAG
rnacentral:rRNA from 1 species